UCCCAACCUAGCCCAUAAAGCCACACUGGCUGAGUUUGAAGGUUACAAGACUCGUGUUCACAGUGUUCUCAAACAACAGAAGUCCAAACCCACACCGCAGACGUUCGAACUGGAAAAUUCGGAAAGAGUGAGGCUGGAACAAGCCAUUGAACAACUGAAAAUGAAACUUAAAGAGGAAAAGUAAGAGAACGC